rnacentral:rRNA from 1 species
AGGACGAACGCUGGCGGCGUGCCUAACACAUGCAAGUCGAGCGGAGACAGUGAGUAGCUUGCUAUGAGCUGUUUUAGCGGCGGACGGGUGAGUAACGCGUGAGCAACCUUUCCCAGACAGGGGAAUAACACACCGAAAGGUGUACUAAUACCGCAUAAGACCACGGGAUCACAUGGUUCUGGGGUAAAAGAUUUAUCGGUUUGGGGUGGGCUCGCGUCCGAUUAGGUAGUUGGUGAGGUAACGGCCCACCAAGCCGACGAUCGGUAGCCGACCUGAGAGGGUGAUCGGCCACAUUGGGACUGAGACACGGCCCAAACUCCUACGGGAGGCAGCAGUGGGGAAUAUUGGGCAAUGGAGGAAACUCUGACCCAGCAACGCCGCGUGGAGGAAGAAGGUUUUCGGAUCGUAAACUCCUGUCCUUGGAGACGAGUAGAAGACGGUAUCCAAGGAGGAAGCCCCGGCUAACUACGUGCCAGCAGCCGCGGUAAUACGUAGGGGGCAAGCGUUGUCCGGAAUAAUUGGGCGUAAAGGGCGCGUAGGCGGCUCGGUAAGUCUGGAGUGAAAGUCCUGCUUUUAAGGUGGGAAUUGCUUUGGAUACUGUCGGGCUUGAGUGCAGGAGAGGUUAGUGGAAUUCCCAGUGUAGCGGUGAAAUGCGUAGAGAUUGGGAGGAACACCAGUGGCGAAGGCGACUAACUGGACUGUAACUGACGCUGAGGCGCGAAAGUGUGGGGAGCAAACAGGAUUAGAUACCCUGGUAGUCCACACUGUAAACGAUGAAUGCUAGGUGUAGGGGGUAUCGACCCCUUCUGUGCCGCAGUCAACACAAUAAGCAUUCCGCCUGGGGAGUACGGCCGCAAGGUUG